rnacentral:rRNA from 1 species
GAUGAACGCUGGCGGCGUGCCUAAUACAUGCAAGUCGAGCGAACAGAUGAGGAGCUUGCUCCUCUGACGUUAGCGGCGGACGGGUGAGUAACACGUGGAUAACCUACCUAUAAGACUGGGAUAACUUCGGGAAACCGGAGCUAAUACCGGAUAAUAUAUUGAACCGCAUGGUUCAAUAGUGAAAGACGGUUUUGCUGUCACUUAUAGAUGGAUCCGCGCCGCAUUAGCUAGUUGGUAAGGUAACGGCUUACCAAGGCGACGAUGCGUAGCCGACCUGAGAGGAUGAUCGGCCACACUGGAACUGAGACACGGUCCAGACUCCUACGGGAGGCAGCAGUAGGGAAUCUUCCGCAAUGGGCGAAAGCCUGACGGAGCAACGCCGCGUGAGUGAUGAAGGUCUUCGGGUCGUAAAACUCUGUUAUUAGGGAAGAACAAAUGUGUAAGUAACUAUGCACGUCUUGACGGUACCUAAUCAGAAAGCCACGGCUAACUACGUG